GAUUCUUUAGUUUAAGUUUUAAAAUAUUUAAUUGUGGUUUAAGGGAUUUUUGAAUUA
rnacentral:tRNA from 1 species